AAGAGGGGCAUAUGCCUCGGAGACUAUGUUCCCCAAGCAGCUUUGUGAGCCUUGGGAGACCAGCUCAGGAUGAAGCCUUGUCUUCUGUUAUCCAUUGCUGCCUAUCUACAGGUAAUAUUCCAACAUUGCCACAAGGUUCGAGGGUGACACAUCUCACACAUGUACGUGAACAACCAAUCAUCAUGCUCAUGAACUACAAAAGGAUCAGAAAUGUGAAGAAUAAAAAGUUCAGAAGCCAUUUGUAUUCAAAUAGAAUGCAAUUAAAAAGUCCCAGGCAAGCAUUAUAAGCUCAUAAACAAGAGAGCUAGCAAGAAGAAAAAAAUCAAGAAGCAAAUCUUGAAGCAAGUUAUAACCUGCCAGAUGUGACAAAGGUGAUAGAAAAUCAGAAAAGAACAAAAAAAGUUAUGACCGUUAAUUAGCAUAUGGAAAAAGAUAAUCAGAGGCCCCCAAGGAAGCUGGAUUAUUAAAAAUGCGACCUCCAUUUCAACAAAGAAAUUCCAGGCAGUGACACGGUUUUGAAUUUAUAAUGAGGAUUGAUGAAUAGAAGAGAAUUGGAUAUUUCAAGAAACAAAGAAAUACAUGAGUUGAAGCUACAGUUAACAAAAAAAAGUGAUCUUUCAACACAGUGGGCCUGAGAACAGCGGUGUCUAGAACCUGUGCUGAAGAUCAUGUUUCCGGCUGACAGCCUCUUACUUGAGACAGUGAGAUUACUGCAUGGACAUGGCACAUGGAGAGGGCCUUCCACACCAUUGAUGAUUGCUGCAACCUGAAAUUGAUUUUACUCCAUGAGACGCUGUGGAUGUGGGAAGACGGUGUUUCUGCCGGGUUGACAGAAGAUGUGGCACAAUGUCCUAGUGUUCGACCAUCCACCGCAUGUGCAGCUCCAGGUAGCUGCUGGCAGCCAUGACACUGGCUUCCACUAUCAGAGGAAGAGGUGCAAAGUAAGAUGAUUUGAGAAUGUUUUCAACUCUAAAAAGCUGUUUUCUUGUAGAGGGCUAUGCUAUGGUGACAAGCCCUGCACCAGAAGGGGAUGGUUGCAGCAACUACUCUGCCAUAUUAGCUGAACUCCUUGAAAUUUCUCACAUACUGAAUUUCUCCCACCAGCUGGAAUAUCAUUCCAGCCAGUGUUGACAUAAGCCAUAACUGCUAGCUGCAGCCGAGUCCUGCAGCCUGACCCACUGUAUUGGAGAAGUGACACUAAAUGUUGUGGGGAAGAUUCUGCUGGCUUGAGGAUAACUGUCAUGUGCUUUCUCGAGGCUUUACAGAAGUUAUUGGGUGGUUUCAGCCUCACCUGGCCCUGAGAGACUACACGCACAGUGCCUGUGAAGUGUUUCCCAGAGGACAAACCCACAAGGUUAACAGCCCUUACUCUGUUACUUGCAGGAAGAGAAACAGCCCUAACCUCAUCUUGGGAAGCGUAACACUCACAGGUUGCUCUCUCUCCAAGUGCCCCUUCUGUUGGAAGACAUGGUUUUUAAUCAUUUAUGGAAGAUUAGCUGUGUUCCUGGUGGUCUCAUAAGCACAAAGCUCACUUUGUGCUUUUAACUUCACCUAUAUUCAGGUAAAACUUCCUCAGAGAGCACGAGGCAAUGUGAAAAGCAGCAAAGAUCAGCAUUUGUAGCGAAUGUCAAAGCCAAGGAAACUGAACUUCAGGCAGAGUACCUGUUAGAGCCGAUAGAAUGAUGAGUACAAAUGCAAGCAUUUUUAUGCCCCUUAUAGAAAUUCUAAAUCAUUGAUAAGGAAUUACUGUG
rnacentral:lncRNA from 1 species